UCAGCGGCGGACGGGUGAGUAAUGCCUAGGAAUCUGCCUGGUAGUGGGGGACAACGUUUCGAAAGGAACGCUAAUACCGCAUACGUCCUACGGGAGAAAGCAGGGGACCUUCGGGCCUUGCGCUAUCAGAUGAGCCUAGGUCGGAUUAGCUAGUUGGUGAGGUAAUGGCUCACCAAGGCGACGAUCCGUAACUGGUCUGAGAGGAUGAUCAGUCACACUGGAACUGAGACACGGUCCAGACUCCUACGGGAGGCAGCAGUGGGGAAUAUUGGACAAUGGGCGAAAGCCUGAUCCAGCCAUGCCGCGUGUGUGAAGAAGGUCUUCGGAUUGUAAAGCACUUUAAGUUGGGAGGAAGGGUUGUAGAUUAAUACUCUGCAAUUUUGACGUUACCGACAGAAUAAGCACCGGCUAACUCUGUGCCAGCAGCCGCGGUAAUACAGAGGGUGCAAGCGUUAAUCGGAAUUACUGGGCGUAAAGCGCGCGUAGGUGGUUUGUUAAGUUGGAUGUGAAAUCCCCGGGCUCAACCUGGGAACUGCAUCCAAAACUGGCAAGCUAGAGUAUGGUAGAGGGUGGUGGAAUUUCCUGUGUAGCGGUGAAAUGCGUAGAUAUAGGAAGGAACACCAGUGGCGAAGGCGACCACCUGGACUGAUACUGACACUGAGGUG
rnacentral:rRNA from 1 species